UCAGUUUCCCUUCGUUAGAAUAAUACCUCCCUCCUAGGGUUGUCGUGGAAACCAGAUGCGUUGCUAUGGGCAACCCUUCGGAUAAAGCCUAACGCAAGCCAAGCACUAGGCGAGUCCUGACUGACACAGUUGCUGUUGCCCGAGGCUGGAACCAGUGACCAUGACCUACCCCGAGGAGGUGGCCCAGAGCCACAGAGAAACCGAUGGAGAGGGCAGGGGUGCCCAGGUUGUCUCCACGCCGCUCGUCGGUGGAGGCAAAGAUGCAGAGCACCAGCUGCAGGGUCAGGAAGAGCUCCACGGUCACGGCCUGGCCAGCUGUCGUGUUGUUGCUCAGCUGGGGACAGAGGGGGGCAACACCUCACCCAAAAACUGACCAAGAGAGAGGUUAGCACGAUCCCUUCCAGUGACCGGGAAGUUCUUCCUAUUGUCUGGCCUCCAGUUAUUGCCUUUGAAGAGGCUGGAAAACAUCCGGUUGACUUGUGACGAACCUUCCAAGAGUAAAGUUUUGGCUCU